rnacentral:lncRNA from 1 species
UGGAUCAAUCUUGAAAGCUUGGCUAUCGAAGGGGUAUUGUUCGGUUUUGCUGUGAGGAGGAAGAGGACCUGCGUUUUGGAUAACUGCAUUUUGAGCCAAGGAGAAGAUGAGGAACUUAGGUAUAGGGUUGUGAUCGAUACUUAGUUUUUGGGUAUGGAUUCUGUAUGCUUUGGAUGUGAAUGUGGAGAGGGCACAAGAUAUUCUCAUGCAUAAAAGACUAUUGCAUAUGGCCUGCCACUAGACCUGUAGUCUAAGUCCGUCUUGUGCAG